rnacentral:rRNA from 1 species
CUACGGGGUGCUGCAGUGGGGAAUAUUGCACAAUGGGGGAAACCCUGAUGCAGCAACGCCGCGUGGAGGAUGACGCAUUUCGGUGUGUAAACUCCUUUUAUAUAGGAAGAUAAUGACGGUACUAUAUGAAUAAGCACCGGCUAACUCCGUGCCAGCAGCCGCGGUAAUACGGAGGGUGCAAGCGUUACUCGGAAUCACUGGGCGUAAAGCGCGCGCAGGCGGCUCUUUAAGUUGGAUGUGAAAGCCUACGGCUCAACCGUAGAACUGCAUCCAAAACUGAAGGGCUAGAGUCUGGGAGGGGAAGAUGGAAUUAGUUGUGUAGGGGUAAAAUCCGUAGAGAUAACUAGGAAUACCAAAAGCGAAGGCGAUCUUCUGGAACAGUACUGACGCUGAGGCGCGAAAGCGUGGGGAGCAAACAGGAUUAGAUACCCUAGUAGUC